AUAUGGCUGAGAAAGUUUAUGUUAUCCCAAAAGAAAAAUCUAAAGUUCGAAACUAAACAAUUUCCAGAAGGAUGGUGUUUCAUAAGGAGGAACUAUGGAUUCCGACUGGGAGGUGUUUUCAUUGUACACGGCUCCAACCCAAUACACAUAGUGAAGAGCGAAGACGACGCCACUUCAUUUACAGCUCACAUGGAACGGAAUCGAACAAAAUACCUUUUUACUAGAAUUGUAGUAUAGAAAGGCUGAAUGAAAUACUAGAAAGGUACAAGUGUUAAUGUAUAAGCUAGACAUGUGACUAUGUACCCUGUUGAGAAGGCAAGGGCCCCAUGCUUUUCCUUGUUUGUAAACUUAUAGCUUUGUCUUUUAAUUUUCAAAAUUUGUUUUUAUGACA